rnacentral:lncRNA from 1 species
GCUCCCAAGCGGAGCGGUAGAGGAGGAGUCGGUGCGGCAGGUCCUGGCGGCCGAGAUUCGGGCGCAGAGGCCGCUAAGGCUGGCAGGGAGCGGCGGUAUCGCGGGGAGAGCGGCGCCACGGGCUGGACGCUCCCGGCGUGAGGCGUGCGCUCCAUGCGUGCGGGCCGAGUGCGGCCCCUGCGAGCCUCCGACAUGAAGAAAGACGUGAGGAUCCUGCUGGUGGGAGAACGUGAGUCCGCGCCCUGCCCGGCCUCGCAGCCCGGGUGCCCUCUCCAAGCCUGCCAGCCCCUUUGCUCUUCCCUACCGUGGCCCUCUGCUCCUCGCAGGCCUUGUCCCCCUUCAGUCCCUAACGCCCGGUCCUCUCGCUGCGAAAGCUGUCGCCGUCGCCACCACCUCCUCGAGUUCUUUCCUCUUGGGCCUCAGCGUUUGUCGGGCCACCUCCCGUCCGACCCUCUGGUCGCCUGUCAGUCACUCAUUGCCAGGCAGAUGUUGGAACAGGCAGACUGAGCACUUGGGACUGCGGGAACCGGCUGGCGGGGGACACUAGGGGGAGGAGGAGUGCAGAAGUAGUCGACUUGGGAGCAAGGUCAGGUCUCUGGAAUUUUUUUUUUUUUUUUUUUUCACUUGCUGCCUUCACUGCUACUGUGCAUGGGCAUUAAGAGAGAGCGUUGGCUUGCUUGAGUAAGUAGCUCAGUAGUAGAAUUCUAGCAUGCAUAAAAACCUGGAUUCAGUCUCCAGCACC